AUACGGAGGGUGCAAGCGUUAUCCGGAAUCAUUGGGUUUAAAGGGUCCGUAGGCGGGCUAAUAAGUCAGGGGUGAAAUCCCACAGCUUAACUGUGGAACUGCCCUUGAUACUGUUGGUCUUGAGUUACAGUGAAGUGGUUAGAAUGUGUAGUGUAGCGGUGAAAUGCAUAGAGAUUACACAGAAUACCGAUUGCGAAGGCAGAUCACUAACUGUAUACUGACGCUAAUGGACGAAAGCGUGGGGAGCGAACAGGAUUAGAAACCCUAGUAGUCC
rnacentral:rRNA from 1 species